CUACGGGAGGCACCAGUGAGGAAUAUUGCACAAUGGGGGGAACCCUGAUGCAGCAACGCCGCGUGGAGGAUGACGCAUUUCGGUGUGUAACUCCUUUUAUAUGUCAAGAAAAUGACGGUAGCAUAUGAAUAAGCGCCGGCUAACUCCGUGCCAGCAGCCGCGGUAAUACGGAGGGCGCAAGCGUUACUCGGAAUCACUGGGCGUAAAGGACGCGUAGGCGGGUUGAAAAGUCAGGUGUGAAAGCCUACAGCUUAACUGUAGAACUGCACUUGAAACUCUCAACCUAGAGUAUGGGAGGGGCAGAUGGAAUUAGUGGUGUAGGGGUAAAAUCCGUAGAUAUCACUAGGAAUACCUAAAGCGAAGGCGAUCUGCUGGAACAUUACUGACGCUAAGGCGUGAAAGCGUGGGGAGCAAACAGGAUUAGAUACCCUUGUAGUC
rnacentral:rRNA from 1 species